AUCUAACUAACAAGUCCCAAAUAGAGCGAAACGAGCGUCCUGGAU
rfam:Schistosoma margrebowiei strain Zambia genome assembly, scaffold: SMRZ_contig0000165